rnacentral:sRNA from 1 species
GGCCAAAUACAUAUUAAAGGCUAAUAACGAGGACAGGGAUCAGGCUGCGAGAGUAUCCAGGGGCCAGUGACAAAAAGGCGCUUAUCACUCUUCUUCAUGUCCCAUACAACAAACUGCAUCCUAAUCAGUACCGCUGCUGCUGUUGCCGCAAAGAAGUACUUUCGAAUCAGUUGCCUUUCUCAAUAACUGACAUCGGUCAACUGUUGUCAUCCCACUUAUCGCGAAUUCAUCACGGAAGAUAUACACAUGAUGCAAUGUAAAGACGCCGGUUGUGAGAACAAUAAGGACAAGUUGAUACAUUGAAUAAUGUACCUUGUUUUUCUG